CCUGGUUGAUCCUGCCAGUAGCAUAUGCUUGUCUCAAAGAUUAAGCCAUGCAUGUCUAAGUACUCACAGACGGUACAGUGAAACUGCGAAUGGCUCAUUAAAUCAGUUAUGGUUCCUUUUAUCCAAGUAACGUUUGGAACGAUCACUAUGGUAAUUCGAGAGCUAAUACAUGCAAACGAGCACUGACCCAUGCGGGGAUGCGUGCAUUUAUCAGACCGAAACCAAUCCGGGUUCACCCGGCAGCUUUGGUGACUCUAGAUAACAUCGGGCAGAUAGCAGGACCUCAUGACAGUGACGACUCAUUCGAAUGUCUGCCCUAUCAACUUUCAACGAUACUUUCUGUGCCUACCAUGGUGACCACGGGUAACGGGGAAAUCAGGGUUCGAUUCCGGAGAGGGAGCCUGAGAAACGGCUACCAAAUCCAAGGAAGGCAGCAGACGCACAAAUUACCCACUCCUGACUCGGGGAGGUAGUGACGAAAAACAACAAUACAGGACUCUUACGAGGCCCUGAAUUUGGAAUGAGUACACUUUAAAUCCUUUAACGAGGAUCUAUUGGAGGGCAAGUCUGGUGCCAGCAGCCGCGGUAAUUCCAGCUCCAGUAGCGUAUACUAAAGCUGCUGCAGUUAAAAAGCUGGUGGUUGGAUCUUGGGAUCGGGCUGGUGGUCCGCCGCAAGGUGAGCUACCGCCUGCCCCAGCCCCUGCCACUUGGCGCUCCCUUGAUGCUCUUAGCUGAGUGUCCUGGGGGGUCCGAAGGGUUUACUUUGAAAAAUAAAGCAGACUGGACGCCUGAAUACUCCAGCUAGGAAUAAUGGAAUAGGACCCCGGUUCUAUUUUGCUGGUUUUCGGAACUGGGGCCAUGAUUAAGAGGGACGGCCGGGGGCAUUCGCAUUAUGCUGCUACAGGUGAAAUUCAUGGACCGGUGCAAGACAAACAAAAGCGAAAGCAUUUGCCAAGAAUGUAUAACCUUCAGAACAACGCUUGCUCUCGGCUCACUAAAAACCUGCGUGUCGUUGCUAUUUCCAAAUUUGAGUAAUACAAUGCCCUUAAAAGGAGUCAUUUCCUGCUAUUUUCAGAAAAUGUAACUUGGUCUAACACUGCUGCUUGUGUCUCAUCCCACAUCAAGUCAGACUUGUGUCUCAGACUUAAGUGCUUUAGUACACUUUAAUAUUAUUGUUCUAAUCUGAAAAUCUCACCAUGGCCCUUCGCAUCAAUUUCUUCAAGUUUUGGUAGCCCUAAUAUUUCCUCAAGUGCAAUGCUCCUCCACAUGUUCACAAUUUCUUUGCUAUUACCUGGCAGUUGGGGAUGCCAACAGGUACUGUUGAAGGAGCAAUAAUUUCCAAUUGCUUCAUAUCACACAUUGGGAUAUAUAGCUGGUAGAUAUGCUUAUUCUCUGCUUUCUGCCAGACAGCCAAGCUUCUAUCCAUGCUAAUACCUUGCCUCUAACACCUCGUACCCUUACCUCACUCAGUAGCCUCCUGUGCAGCAGUUUGUCAAAGCACAUUUUGAAGUCCAUGCUGCUAGAAUUCCUUGAGGAAGCAAUGAGCAGGUUAGACUAAGGAGAGCCAGUGUAUGUUAUCUAG
rnacentral:rRNA from 1 species